rnacentral:tRNA from 1 species
GGACGGAUCGUAGAACGGUAAUACUCCUGAUUGAAGCUCAGGCAUUGUUGGUUCAACUCCAACCCCGUCCACCA